rnacentral:rRNA from 1 species
GACGAACGCUGGCGGCGUGCUUAACACAUGCAAGUCGAACGGAAAGGCCCUGCUUUUGUGGGGUGCUCGAGUGGCGAACGGGUGAGUAACACGUGAGUAACCUGCCCUUGACUUUGGGAUAACUUCAGGAAACUGGGGCUAAUACCGGGGAGGAGCUCCUGCUGCAUGGUGUGGGUUGGAAAGUGUCGGCUGUUGUGGAUGGACUCGCGGCUUAUCAGCUUGUUGGUGGGGUAGUGGCUUACCAGGCCUUUGACGGGUAGCCCGCCUGGGAGGGUGACCGGCCACAAUGGGCCUGAGAUACGGCCCAGACGCCUACGGGCGGCAGCAGUGGGGAGUAUUGCGCAAUGGGCGGAAGCCUGAUGCAGCAACGCCGCGUGCGGGAUGACGGCCUUCGGGUUGUAAACCGCUUUCGCCUGUGCCGAAGCGUGAGUGACGGUAAUGGGUAAAGAAGCCCCGGCUAACUACGUG